UACAGAGGGUGCAAGCGUUGUUCGGAAUUAUUGGGCGUAAAGCGCGUGUAGGCGGCCAUUCAAGUCGGGUGUGAAAUCCCUCGGCUUAACCGAGGAAGUGCGCCCGAAACUGGGUGGCUUGAGUGCCGGAGAGGGUGGCGGAAUUCCCCAAGUAGAGGUGAAAUUCGUAGAUAUGGGGAGGAACACCGGUGGCGAAGGCGGCCACCUGGACGGUAACUGACGCUGAGACGCGAAAGCGUGGGGAGCAAACAG
rnacentral:rRNA from 1 species